GCUUUCAACAUCUCCGUUCCGUUGGUCUAAGCCGCGGGACUGAAGGC
rnacentral:sRNA from 1 species